rnacentral:sRNA from 1 species
CUGGCCCGCGGCAGGAAGCCCCGGCGUGAGACACUUUCGGAUUCCGUGACAACGGCCGGAUUAAACGUUUUUCUUCUCCUUUGCUACUGAACCUAUGCUGUGACUUAGAACACAAGAAACUCCGAGAGGCUGUAGGGAUUGUCUUAGCUGUCUCCCUCCUCCGCCGGCACCGCUGAAGGCAGCCCCUAUCGAGGGCGCUAAACCUCGGGGCCCUGGGUUUCUAUGACGACAAACAGGCGUUCCAGCAAAGGAGGAAGACUUCCUGAGCUAAAGGAGAAAAAAAAUAUGGUGGAUCGUUCAAAACUCCUUCCUACUUCCCUUCAGAAUGAGUUCAUUCCCAAAGAAGUUCUUCUUUCUCUGACCUAUGCGGCCAAUGCUGGUCCUUGUCCUGAAAACUUACUACCUCCUAAGAAAAUUAAAACCCCAAAGGGCACUCUUCCACGCCUUGUAGACCAUGUCUGGCAUCACCCUGUUCGAAGGAAUAAAUUCAAAUACCUGAUUGACCAUCCCGUCUCCCUCACGGGAGCUGGAAGG